AGUAAACUCCUUUAAUGGGCAUCUGAUGAUGUCAUAUAUAUAUGGCUGGAUCCGUCCGUCUGUUGUUCUGUGUGGUAAUUGGUCAGGAGUCAGUCAGGGGGAAGGGUGUCUCUGCUCUGCCUGCAAAUUAACCCCUGUAUUGAACUCAGCUCUAGUUUCUCAAAGUAUGCUGUCUUUUAACCCCGCCGUAUGAGUUUAAUUAUACAAAACCGGCAUGGUUUUUUAUGUGGGGACAUGUAGCGUUGUAUACAUUUUGUGUUGUGUUCUUUAGGUGAGGCUACAUGUUUACAGACACGUGCUACCGCUGCACCGACCCAUUUAAUUACAGAUCAGAGGUAAAAUGUUUGCGGCUGGAAUUUUCCAUUUUCAGUUUAGAAUGAAAGAGACUAUAAACUCUCAGGAGGAGUAAUAUUCUGCUGACAGCAUUUUUCAUCCUUAAAAGUUAUAUUGUACUUUAUAAUAAGUUGCCGUGAGAAUACAAUAAUUAGCCUCAUAUCCAGAUCUGCAGUAUCAGCACUUGUUUCAGCUACAGGUGACCAGCUGCCCAGCUUUGUUCCCCCCUCCUUAGGGACAGCUGGGUCCAUCAAUCUGCUCCCAAAAACCUGCACUUCACCGUGACUCCGAUGGUAAGCAUUGAGUGCCAUUAUUGUUCUCGUAGUAGGACGUCCACCGCAGUAAAGUCUCUGGCACACUUUUAAAGACAUAGCGGGUAAUAUAUGCAGGACAGAGCAGUGGCCCUGGCUAAAGAAUUCCCUUCCCCCAUUGAAACUUCUUUUCUUGGAAGAGAAGACAAACAUUUAUUUGGCCAAGACCACAAUAACAUUAACUCAACCACUAUGUUCUUCACAUAGACACCAGCUAUCCUAAACAGAUAUUAGUGGUUUUGCUGGCAAGAGGUGAGUGAGG